rnacentral:lncRNA from 1 species
AGACCUAAAAAAAGAUAUUGAACCAAGAUAUCCAAUAUCUAUUUUUAGGUUUACACAAGGACACUUAAAGAACGAAGGGGCAUUCCUGCGGUGGCGCCGUGUGUUAAGAAUCCACUGUCGUCUCUGCAGCAGCUUGAGUCCCUGCUGCGACACAGUGAUGGGUCGCUGGAAUAAAGCUGAGGUGAAGCAUUGAGUGAAGAAGAUGAGCCACAGGACAUCUAUGCAUGUGAAGAGCAGCUGAAAACUUGGUGAACACAAAACUGCCAG